rnacentral:rRNA from 1 species
CCUAUGGGGUGCAGCAGGCGCGAAAACUUUACCAUGCGGGCAACCGUGAUAAGGAAACCCCGAGUGCCAGCACAGGCUGGCUGUCCACCAGUGUAAAUAACUGGUGAAGAAAGGGCCGGGCAAGACCGGUGCCAGCCGCCGCGGUAAUACCGGCGGCUCGAGUGGUGGCCGCUAUUACUGGGCUUAAAGGGUCCGUAGCUGGAUAUACAAGUCCCUUGAGAAAUCCGCCGGCUUAACCGGUGGGCGUUCAGGGGAAACUGUAUUUCUAGGGACCGGGAGAGGUGAGAGGUACUGCCGGGGUAGGAGUGAAAUCCUGUAAUCCCGGUGGGACCACCUAUGGCGAAGGCAUCUCACCAGAACGGGUCCGACAGUGAGGGACGAAAGCUGGGGGAGCAAACCGGAUUAGAUACCCCCGUAGUCC